GUGAAGCCCAGCUUGCUGGGUGGAUCAGUGGCGAACGGGUGAGUAACACGUGAGCAACCUGCCCUCCACUUCGGGAUAAGCCUUGGAAACGGGGUCUAAUACCGGAUAUGAGCUCGCAUCGCAUGGUGUGGGUUGGAAAGUUUUUCGGUGGGGGAUGGGCUCGCGGCCUAUCAGCUUGUUGGUGGGGUGAUGGCCUACCAAGGCGUCGACGGGUAGCCGGCCUGAGAGGGCGACCGGCCACACUGGGACUGAGACACGGCCCAGACUCCUACGGGAGGCAGCAGUGGGGAAUAUUGCACAAUGGGCGCAAGCCUGAUGCAGCGACGCCGCGUGAGGGAUGACGGCCUUCGGGUUGUAAACCUCUUUCAGCAGGGAAGAAGCGCAAGUGACGGUACCUGCAGAAGAAGCGCCGGCUAACUACGUGCCAGCAGCCGCGGUAAUACGUAGGGCGCAAGCGUUGUCCGGAAUUAUUGGGCGUAAAGAGCUCGUAGGCGGUCUGUCGCGUCUGGUGUGAAAUCCCGAGGCUCAACCUCGGGCUUGCAUCGGGUACGGGCAGACUAGAGUGCGGUAGGGGAGACUGGAAUUCCUGGUGUAGCGGUGGAAUGCGCAGAUAUCAGGAGGAACACCGAUGGCGAAGGCAGGUCUCUGGGCCGCAACUGACGCUGAGGAGCGAAAGCAUGGGGAGCGAACAGGAUUAGAUACCCUGGUAGUCCAUGCCGUAAACGUUGGGCACUAGGUGUGGGCUCAUUCCACGAGUUCCGUGCCGCAGCUAACGCAUUAAGUGCCCCGCCUGGGGAGUACGGCCGCAAGGCUAAAACUCAAAGGAAUUGACGGGGGCCCGCACAAGCGGCGGAGCAUGCGGAUUAAUUCGAUGCAACGCGAAGAACCUUACCAAGGCUUGACAUGUACGAGAAAGCCCCCGAGACGGGGUUCUCUUUGGACACUCGUACACAGGUGGUGCAUGGUUGUCGUCAGCUCGUGUCGUGAGAUGUUGGGUUAAGUCCCGCAACGAGCGCAACCCUCGUCCUAUGUUGCCAGCGGGUUAUGCCGGGGACUCAUGGGAGACUGCCGGGGUCAACUCGGAGGAAGGUGGGGAUGACGUCAAAUCAUCAUGCCCCUUAUGUCUUGGGCUUCACGCAUGCUACAAUGGCCGGUACAGAGGGCUGCGAUACCGUAAGGUGGAGCGAAUCCCAAAAAGCCGGUCUCAGUU
rnacentral:rRNA from 1 species